CGGAGGGAAAGGGUAGAGGGAAAGGGUAGAGGGAAAGGGUAGAGGGAAAGGACAGAGGGAAAGGGUAGAGGGAAAGGGUAGAGGGAAAGGACAGAGGGAAAGGGUAGAGGGAAGGGGUAGAGGGAAAGGGUAGAGGGAAAGGACAGAGGGAAAGGGUAGAGGGAAAGGGUAGAGGGAAAGGACAGAGGGAAAGGAUAGAGAGAAAGGGUAGAGGGAAAGGAUGGAGGGAAAGGGUAGAGGGAAAAGACUGAGGGAAAGGGUAGAGGGAAAGGACAGAGGGAAAGGGUAGAGGGAAAGGACAGAGGAAAGGGUAGAGGGAAAGGACAGAGGGAAAGGGUAGAGGGAAAGGACAGAGGGAAAGGACAGAGGGAAAGGAAAGAGGGAAAGGGUAGAGGGAAAGGACAGAGGCAAAGGACAGAGGGAAAGGACAGAGGGAAAGAACAGAGGGAAAGGGUAGAGGGAAAGGACAGAGGGAAAGGGUAGAGGGAAGGGGUAGAGGGAAAGGGUAGAGGGAAAGGACAGAGGGAAAGGGUAGAGGGAAAGGGUAGAGGGAAAGGACAGAGGGAAAGGAUAGAGAGAAAGGGUAGAGGGAAAGGACGGAGGGAAAGGGUAGAGGGAAAGGACGGAGGGAAAGGGUAGAGGGAAAGGGUAGAGGGAAAGGACAGAGGGAAAAAAUAGAGGGAAAGGACAGAGGGAAAGGGCAGAGGGAAAGGGUAGAGGGAAAGGACAGAGGGAAAGGGUAGAGGGAAAGGGCAGAGGGAAAGGCUAGAGGGAAAGGACAGAGGGAAAGGGUAGAGGCAAAGGACAGAGGGAAGGGUGGAGGGAAAUGGUAGAGGGAAAGGGUGGAGGGAAAGGACAGGGGGAAAGGGUGGAGGGAAAUGGUAGAUGGAAAGGACAGAGGGAAAAGAUAGAGGGAAAGGACAGAGGGAAAGGGUAGAGGGAAAUGGUAGAGGGAAAGGACAGAGGGAAAGGGUAGAGGCAAAGGACAGAGGGAAAGGACAGAGGGAAAGGACAGAGGGAAAGGCUAGAGGGAAAGGGCAGAGGGAAAGGGUAGAGGGAAAGGACAGAGGGAAAGGACAGAGGGAAAGGGUAGAGGGAAAGGACAGAGGCAAAGGACAGAGGGAAAGGGCAGAGGGAAAGGGUAGAGGGAAAGGACAGAGGGAAAGGAUAGAGGGAAAGGGUAGAGGGAAAGGACAGAGGCAAAGGACAGAGGGAAAGGACAGAGGGAAAGGACAGAGGGAAAGGACAGAGGGAAAGGACAGAGGGAAAGGGUAGAGGGAAAGGACAGAGGGAAAGGACAGAGGGAAAGGACAGAGGCAAAGGGUAGAGGGAAAGGACAGAGGGAAAGGGUAGAGGGAAAGGACAGAGGGAAAGGACAGAGGGAAAGGACAGAGGCAAAGGGUAGAGGGAAAGGACAGAGGCAAAGGACAGAGGGAAAGGGUAGAGGGAAAGGACAGAGGCAAAGGACAGAGGGAAAGGGUAGAGGGAAAGGACAGAGGGAAAGGGUAGAGGGAAAGGACAGAGGGAAAGGGUAGAGGGAAAGGACAGAGGGAAAGGACAGAGGGAAAGGACAGAGGCAAAGGGUAGAGGGAAAGGACAGAGGCAAAGGACAGAGGGAAAGGACAGAGGGAAAGGGUAGAGGGAAAGGACAGAGGCAAAGGCCAGAGGGAACGGGUAGAGGGAAAGGACAGAGGGAAAGGGUAGAGGGAAAGGACAGAGGGAAAGGGUAGGGGAAAGGACAGAGCAAAAGGACAGAGGGAAAGGACAGAGUGAAAGGACAGAGGGAAAGGAAAGAGGGAAAGGACAGAGGGAAAGGGUAGAGGGAAAGGACAGAGGGAAAGGACAGAGGGAAAGGGUAGAGGAAAAAAACAGAGGGAAAGGGUAGAGGGAAAGGACAGAGGGAAAGGGUAGAGGGAAAGGACAGAGGGAAAGGGUAGAGGGAAAGGACAGAGGGAAAGGACAGAGGGAAAGGGUAGAGGGAAAGGACAGUGGGAAAGGGUAGAGGGAAAGGACAGAGGGAAAGGGUAGAGGGAAAGGACAGAGGGAAAGGACAGAGGGAAAGGACAGAGGGAAAGGGUAGAGGGAAAGGACAGAGGCAAAGGACAGAGGGAAAGGACAGAGGGAAAGGACAGAGGGAAAGGACAGAGGGAAAGGGUAGAGGGAAAGGACAGAGGCAAAGGACAGAGGGAAAGGACAGAGGGAAAGGACAGAAGGAAAGGGUGGAGGCAAAGGACAGAGGGAAAGGACAGAGGGAAAGGAUGGAGGUUUUACUGAGGAACUGAGUUUGUGUAGCUGGUAGAGGUGUCAAUAAUUUUUUUGAAUCAACUUGUCUUGAGUCAACUACUUUAUACAGCAAUUUGCCUGCCUGCCUGCCUGCCUGCCUGCCUGCCUGCCUGCCUGCCUGCCUGCAUGCCUCUGAAAUGAAUACUUUCAGAUUGUCUAAGCUAUGUGCUUCUAUUACUUACUGAAACCUUUACAUUUUGAUCCUCAC
rnacentral:lncRNA from 1 species